rnacentral:rRNA from 1 species
UAAGACAGGGGUCUCAAGCGUUAAUCGGAAUCACUGGGCUUAAAGGGUGCGUAGGCGGCCUCGUAAGUGUUCUGUGAAAGCCCCCGGCUCAACCGGGGAACCGCAGGGCAUACUGCGAGGCUUGAGGUUGGUAGAGGCCGUUGGAACGAUCGGUGGAGCGGUGGAAUGCAUAGAUAUCGAUCGGAACGCCAAAAGCGAAGGCAAGCGGCUGGGCCAUACCUGACGCUCAGGCACGAAAGCGUGGGGAGCAAACCGGAUUAGAUACCCGGGUAGUCCACGCCCUAAACGAUGUGCACUGGAUCGGAGCGGCUCUGACGUCGUUCUGGUCGCAGAGAAAUCGCUAAGUGCACCGCCUGGGGAGUACGGUCGCAAGGCUA